GAUGAACGCUGGCGGCGUGCCUAAUACAUGCAAGUCGGGCGAACGGACGAAAAGCUUGCUUCUCGGAUGUAAGCGGCGGACGGGCGAGUAACACGAGGCUAACCUACCUGUAAGACUGGGAUAACUUCGAGAAACCGGCGCUAAAACCGGAUAAUAUUUUGAUCCGCAUGGUCCUAAAGUGAAAGACGCUCUUGCGGUCACGUAUAGAUGGACCCGCGCUGCAUUAGCUAGUUGGUAAGGUAACGGCUUACCAAGGCAACGAUGCCUAGCCGACCUGAAAGGGUGCUCGGCCCCCCUGGCACUGAGCCACGGUCCAGACUCCUGCGGGAGUCAGCAGUCGGGAAUCUUCCGCAAUGCGCGCAGACCUGCAGGAGCAAUGCCGCGUGCGUCAUGAAGGUCUUCGGAUCGUAACACUCUCUUAUUAGGGCCGACCAUAUGUGUAAGUAACUGUGCACAUCUUGACGGCACCUAAUCAGAAAGCCACGCCUAACCUCGUG
rnacentral:rRNA from 1 species